rnacentral:rRNA from 1 species
UUAGAGUUUGAUCAUGGCUCAGAAUCAACGCUGGCGGCGUGCCUAACACAUGCAAGUCGAACGAGAAAGCGGGGGCAACUCCGUGAGUAAAGUGGCGUACGGGUGAGUAACACGUAGCUAACCUACCCUUGAGCGGGGGAUAACCUGGGGAAACUCGGGCUAAUACCGCUUAGUAUUCCGGUGGCUGACGCCGCCGGGAGCAAAGGCCCGCAAGGGCCGCUCGAGGAGGGGGCUGCGGCCGAUUAGCUAGUUGGUGAGGUAACGGCCCACCAAGGCGAUGAUCGGUAGCCGGCCUGAGAGGGCGCACGGCCACACUGGCACUGAAACACGGGCCAGACUCCUACGGGAGGCAGCAGUGGGGAAUUUUGCACAAUGCCCGAAAGGGUGAUGCAGCAACGCCGCGUGAGGGAUGAAGGCCUUCGGGUCGUAAACCUCUUUCGACCGGGAAAAAUGGGCCUGCGAAGAGCGGGCUCUGAUGGUACCGGUGGAAGAAGCCCCGGCCAACUACGUGCCAGCAGCCGCGGUAAUACGUAGGGGGCGAGCGUUGUUCGGAAUUACUGGGCGUAAAGGGCGUGUAGGCGGUGCGGUAAGUGGGGGCGUGAAAUCCCCGGGCUUAACCCGGGGCGGNCGUUCCAGACUGCCGUGCUAGGGUGCAGGAGAGGGAAGUGGAAUUCCCGGNGUAGCGGUGAAAUGNGUAGAUAUCGNAGGAACACCAGCGGCGAAGGCGGCUUUCNGGACUGUUACCGACGCUGAGGCGCGAAAGCUAGGGGGAGCAAACNGGNNUAGAUACCCUGGNNNUCCUAGCCCUAACGAAUGGAGCA